GAGAUUAGGAUGGAGAUUAAGAGGUAUGGAAUAGGUGUAUAAGGAAGCAGAGCUGAGUGAAAGAGAGCAUCUGAAGCAAGGAGAAGCAAGAAUAGAGGAAAAAGACGACAUUUACAUACACCAAGCUGAAGAGAAGUGAAGAUCCCAUGAUGAAGGUCCUACCCAUUCUGGCCGUGAUGCUACUCGGGACGUCUGCCAUGGUGCUCAAUGGUCUAAACUCCACCGAACCUAAACGGGUCUCUGCGAAGGUCAAGGCCUUUCUCCCAUGUCCUGGCCAUUCUACCUGGUAUAAACUGGGUGUCACGACUUCCGCCAAAGUCGGUCCCUCUCCUUGCUUGGGCGGCGUUCGGCGGUCGACAUUGCCGGUCUUCUAGCCAUUGCCGCUCCACUUUUCAUUGUUCAUUUGUUUUGUCUUGUUUUCCCACACACCUGGUUCACAUUCCCUCACCAGACUAAAUGUAUAAUACCCUCUGUUUCCCCCAUGUGUGUGUGUGGAAUUGUUCUUUGUGUAGGGUGUUGCGCUACAGGCUGGCUUGCGCUAGGUUUGUUUCUAACCUAGUUUUGUUUGUUUUGUUUAAUCUGGUUCAAUGUUACCGUGGUUGUGCUUUGUGCUGCCUCGCCUGUGCCUUUGGGCCAGGGUGUAUAUUAAAGUUAUCCUGUUAUCACCCAUCUCUGCUCUCCUGCGCCUGGCUUCCCGGCAACCAGUUUCUCAUCCCGUUACACUGGGGUCCAAAUGUGUUAAGCACUUCAAGGAAGAAUUGGACUUUACAUCCGCUGAGGUAAAUUCAGACUUCUCUAAGGUUUUAGUCUACAGACCCAGUUACUUAACCUUUAUUUAGGCAAGAGAGUCCCAUUGAUACCAAUGUCUCACUAUUUACUGUAGUGUACCUCUGUAUCUCUACAUGAUAUGCAGAAUUACCAAAAUUACCACCAUAACUAACUCUCAAAGCAGCAUGCUGUACAAUUAUUGUUGAUGGAGAUUCUUUAUUGAGUCUGCUUUUUAGUCCAGGACUAGGCUUAAUCUGUAUCCAGGAACCCAAACCCAUAGUACUCACCAUUCAAUUUGACCAUCUAGAUAAAAACCAGGUGGACAACAGUGUUCAUGCCCCCCAACUCCUUCUGUCCUUAUGCUUGAUCUCUGUCUCUUUCAUUAUCUCUCUCUCUCUCUCUCUCUCUCUCUCUCUCUCUCUCUCUCUCUCUCUCCUGUCUCUGUUUCUCUCUCUCUCACAUCCUCACCGCUACCUCUGGACUGAUGGGUCCAGCAUGGACUACUUUACCUGGCUUCAGAAGCCCAAGCAACCAUCCGGUGAUGGACAGUGCAUGGAAAUAAUCUGGCAGAGGAAGCAAGAGACGGCAGGGAUAA